rnacentral:rRNA from 1 species
GAUCCAGCCAUGCCGCGUGUGUGAUGAAGGCCUUAGGGUCGUAAAGCUCUUUCGCCAGAGAUGAUAAUGMCAGUAUCUGGUAAAGAAACCCCGGYUAACUCCGUGCCAGCAGCCGCGGUAAUACGGAGGGGGUUAGCGUUGUUCGGAAUUACUGGGCGUAAAGCGCACGUAGGCGGAUUAKUCAGUCAGAGGUGAAAUCCCAGGGCUCAACCCUGGAACUGCCUUUGAUACUGCUAGUCUUGAGUUCGAGAGAGGUGAGUGGAAUUCCGAGUGUAGAGGUGAAAUUCGUAGAUAUUCGGAGGAACACCAGUGGCGAAGGCGGCUCACUGGCUCGAUACUGACGCUGAGGUGCGAAAGUGUGGGGAGCAAACAGGAUUAGAUACCCUGGUAGUCCACACCGUAAACGAUGAAUGCCAGUCGUCGGGUAGUAUACUAUUCGGUGACACACCUAACGGAUUAAGCAUC